rnacentral:rRNA from 1 species
UACAGAGGUCCCAAGCGUUACUGAGAAUCACUGGGUUUAAAGGGUGCGUAGGUGGUCCGUUAAGUCAGUUGUGAAAUCCCCGGGCUCAACUCGGGAACUGCUUCUGAUACUGGCGGGCUUGAGGCCAGUAGGGGUCACUAGAACUGACGGUGGAGCGGUGAAAUGCGUAGAUAUCGUGAGGAAUGCCGGUGGUGAAGACGGGUGACUGGGCUGGUUCUGACACUGAGGCACGAAAGCGUGGGGAGCGAACGGG